UACGAAGGGGGCUAGCGUUGCUCGGAAUCACUGGGCGUAAAGGGUGCGUAGGCGGGUCUUUAAGUCAGGGGUGAAAUCCUGGAGCUCAACUCCAGAACUGCCUUUGAUACUGAGGAUCUUGAGUUCGGGAGAGGUGAGUGGAACUGCGAGUGUAGAGGUGAAAUUCGUAGAUAUUCGCAAGAACACCAGUGGCGAAGGCGGCAUCCUGGACCGACACUGACGCUGAGGAGCGAAAGCCAGGGGAGCAAACGGG
rnacentral:rRNA from 1 species